GCACAGAGCAGCACAGAAAAGACAGAGAGAGAGUUCACCCCUCCAGCUGUUGCAGUCAUUGAGGCUCGUCUCCUCUUAUCCCAGAGAAAAGAGCCGUCUCUGGGCACGGUUUGAUUUCUCUGACCUCAGAGCUCUGGAGUUCUGAACACAGACAUGUAAACCGCUGCUGGCGUCGCUGUUGUGCCUUUAGCCCAGCUGAAGUUUAGAUUCCUUUUAAGUGUGGUUUGUGCCAUUUAAAUAAAAAAUGCAUGAGUUCAGAAAA